AAUGGGUAUUGGGGACGGUCCGCCGUCCUCAUGACACUUGAACACCCACAGGCGAAGACAACUCGAAAGUUAUCACGGGAUUACGGGUUCGGCCGAUGGCGCAAGCCUUCGUCGGGCCCCUCCAUCCCAGGGUGUCCGGUACGGGUGCUUGCACCCAGCGGACAUCCCCGGAGUGCGUAGGAUGUGACCCGAAAGAUGGUGAACUAUGCCUGAUCAGGUCGAAGUCAGGGGAAACCCUGAUGGAGGACCGAAGCAAUUCUCUGACGUGCAAAUCGAUUGUCAGAGUUGGGCAUAGGGGCGAAAGACCAAUCGAAUGGGUAUUGGGGACGGUCCGCCGUCCUCAUGACACUU
rnacentral:rRNA from 1 species